UGGGGAAUUUUGGACAAUUGGGCGAAAGCCUGAUCCAGCAAUGCCGCGUGUGUGAAGAAGGCCUUCGGGUUGUAAAGCACUUUUGUCCGGAAAGAAAUCCUUGGCUCUAAUACAGUCGGGGGAUGACGGUACCGGAAGAAUAAGCACCGGCUAACUACGUGCCAGCAGCCGCGGUAAUACGUAGGGUGCAAGCGUUAAUCGGAAUUACUGGGCGUAAAGCGUGCGCAGGCGGUUUGCUAAGACCGAUGUGAAAUCCCCGGGCUCAACCUGGGAACUGCAUUGGUGACUGGCAGGCUAGAGUAUGGCAGAGGGGGGUAGAAUUCCACGUGUAGCAGUGAAAUGCGUAGAGAUGUGGAGGAAUACCGAUGGCGAAGGCAGCCCCCUGGGCAAUACUGACGCUCAUGCACGAAAGCGUGGGGAGCAAACAGGAUUAGAUACCCUGGUAGUCCACGCCCUAAACGAUGUCAACUAGUUGUUGGGGAUUCAUUUCCUUAGUAACGUAGCUAACGCGUGAAGUUGACCGCCUGGGGAGUACGUCGCAA
rnacentral:rRNA from 1 species